GGGGAACUUCUGUGUUGGCAAUGUCUGAAGAGAGGUCAUACUUCAGACACGAAGUGCACCAACAUAAGUGUCAAACUAUUCAAAAAUGGAUUGGCUUUUAAAGGAGCCCUUCAAAUAUCAUAACAAGAAGAGCGUGCUGUUUAGAACACAGCAUUAUGCCUCCGGUAUCCAGGAUGUACAUUAAAGCAAUAUUAAACCCUUAGUGACCAGACCGUUUUAAAUUUUCUUACCAUUAAGGACCAGGUCUGUUUUUACAUUUCUGCUGUGUUUGUGUUUAUCUGUAAUUUUCCUCUUACUCAUUUACGGUACCCACACAUAUUAUAUACAGUUUUUCUCGCCAUUAAAUGGUCUUUCUAAAGACACC